rnacentral:rRNA from 1 species
UACGGGGGGUGCAAGCGUUAAUCGGAAUUACUAGGCGUAAAGCGUGCGCAGGCGGUUAUAUAAGACAGAUGUGAAAUCCCCGGGCUCAACCUGGGACCUGCAUUUGUGACUGCAUCGCUAGAGUACGGUAGAGGGGGAUGGAAUUCCGCGUGUAGCAGUGAAAUGCGUAGAUAUGCGGAGGAACACCGAUGGCGAAGGCAAUCCCCUGGACCUGUACUGACGCUCAUGCACGAAAGCGUGGGUAGCAAACGGG